rnacentral:rRNA from 1 species
GACCGAAAGGGAAACGAUUCCGAGCAUCGGAAAGCUUACACAGGUGCUGCAUGGCUGUCGUCAGCUCGUGCCGUGAGGUGUUGGGUUAAGUCCCGCAACGAGCGCAACCCUCAUCCUCUGUUGCCCUUUCGGGGGCUCUCUGAGGAAACUGCCGGCGAAGAGCUGGAGGAAGGUGGGGAUGACGUCAAGUCCGCAUGGCCCUUAUGCCCAGGGCUACACACGUGCUACAAUGGUAGGUACAAAGGGUGGCCAAACCGCGAGGUGGAGCUAAUCCCAUAAAGCCUAUCCAAGUUGGGAUCGGAGUCUGCAAUUCGACUCCGUGAACCUGGAAUCGCUAGUAAUCGUGGAUCAGCACGCCACGGUGAAUACGUUCCCGGGCCUUGUACACACCGCCCGUCACACCACGAAAGUCUGCUGUACCCGAAGUAGGUGAGCCAACCCCGAGUAAUCGGGGAGGCAGCUUCCUAAGGUAUGGCCGGUAAUUGGGGUGAAGUCGUAACAAGGUAGCC